rnacentral:lncRNA from 1 species
AAUUAAUUUGGUGACUUAAAGAGAUUAAUUAAAUAAGAGGGUAUAAACUGUCAAUUGUUUGAUAGUUGCACUUUGGGCUGUAAAUCCUUAAGGGAUAGAGGUUGGACGAAUUCUAGGGCUUGGGAUAGCCUCAAAUUCGUCCAAGGCUUAUCUUUGGUAAGGAUUUGGAUUACUUAGAGCUUAAGUUAUCCAAUUAGGGUUUAAGGGUGAAACCCUAGGAGCCUUACAAGUAUAAAUAGACUCCUAGGGCAAGGGAAAUCGGCACCUCUGCUAAAGCAAAGAAACCCUGGCCGAUUUCUAAUCCCUCCCCUCUCUCUCAAAUCAUCCUCCUUACUAGUUGGUGUUUGUAAGCCAUUAGUGGAGUGACAAUUGUGACUCUAGAGCUCCAAGACAACAAGAUCAAACAAGAGAUUCAAAGGUAAACUUCUAGAUCUGAUUUUGUAUUGUUCUUAUAAUCAACUAGCCAUUAGAAGUCUUGGUUCAAUGCAUGUUUAAUUAGAGAACCUAGAUCCAAGCAUUAGGGUUUUGCAUGCGCACAUAGGAAAGUUCUUAUGGCUAAAACCCAUCAGUGGUAUCAGAGCCUAGCUUGGUUUUCUGUAAAUUGUUGCUUGAUUAACUGAAACAAACCUGCAAAAUUCGAAUUUUUGGUUUCUGAGUCAUGGACUCGGCGAGUCUCAAAGUGGACUCGGCGAGUAGGCCUGACUCGGCGAGUCCAUUUGUGCACUCGGCGAGUCCAGGCGUCAGGAAUGGCCAGAUUCGGGAUUUCUUUGUGUUUAUCUUAUCUUAACUUACCAUAAACUAAUUAGAUCAACAUUAAUUCGUUUUUCUGAUAAAUAUAACUAUUAUCUUGAUCUAGUUAAAGGUAAUUAUCAACUAAUUAAAUAUUUAAUUUCCUUAUAUGAUAAUUAAUUAAUUAUUUUGAUUAUUUUGGUAAUUAUCUUUAAAAGAAAUCUUGAAUAAAUCAAAUAUAGAUAAUUAGGAUAUUAAUUGUUAAUUGGAAUUAUUUGUUAUUUGAUCCUCCAUGUUUUAAAUGUUUAAAACCUACCCUCAUGUUUUGAAAUUUACUUUUGUGAUUAAAAGUUUUAAUUUAGACAACUUAAAUUUCAAACCCUAGAUUUUAAAAGUUUUAAAAUACAACCCUAUACUAAUAUGAUAUUACUAGAAUAAUAUAUAUAUGUAUAACUAAAUGCUAGUCUUACCGUUAGUAGGCCUCAUUCACGAAGCCGAUCUAUAAGGUGGGUAUAAGGUUGCGGCCUAUAAAAUGGCGCUUAAUGGGUGUACACUCACACCCACCGCUUGCUUGAUUGGUGGAGGGUCGUUAGCCGAACGGGUAGGAUAGGGCAACCUCAUCCUCUCAUUAAAAGUAUAAUAAGAAAUAUAAAGUAACUACACAUUUUUUUAAAAUUUCCCAAUCCUAGUUACUUUAGGAAAAGUGAAUUGAUGCAAUCCCAUGAAAUUACACUUUGCACCUUGCUAAGAUGUUAGUGGAGCGUGUGUGGUUUACCGGCACACUAAUUGGUUCUAAGCGAAGGUGGCAAAGGGUGAUUCAUUGUUUAUCAUAGUUCGAUGGAGCGUGUGUGGUUUACCGGCACAUCGAAUAGGUGAUUGUUACAAUGAAGGCACCAUGUGAAUUUGCAUGGUAAUUCACACCCGCUUUGUGAUCCUCGGCAUCCCAGUCACAAACAAGAGGGGCAUAUCGAGAUUUAAACAUGCCAUUGAAUAGUUUCAAUGAAUCUCAUCCGAACCUAGGAAUUCUCAAAAACACUUAGGACUAAUAGUUUAAGUUUUGUGAUGGAGAAUUAGUGAAUCGUCAUUCACUUACCUUCAAUUUAUUUGCAUGUUAGAUUACGGCAUCCCUUUUCUAGUAUGUAAAUGUUAUUGUUGGAUCCUAGCCCUAAUUUUCUUAUUGGGUGAUAAUUAGGGAUUCUUAUUCUAAUCUAUCUUUGUCCUUUUCUAAUUGUAGAUGUCGAACGCAAACAACGCUGCUGCUAGUUCUUUCACGUUGAUGAGCCUUUGCCAAAAGGUCACCUUCGAUGGAACGAACUUUAGCGAAUGGAUAAGAUACAUUCGCACCAUUGCUCGCUAUGAGGAUAAGGAGUAUGUCCUCGAUGAGAAGCUCGAGAAAAUCAACCCCGAAAUUGCUACUCCCGCCGAAAUCACCGCCUUUGAAACUCAUGAGCGAGAUGCAACGAAGGUACAUUGCAUCAUGAUCGCCACCAUGAACUCCGAAUUCCAAAAGUCCUACGAGGACAUGUACCCGUACGAGAUGCAUCAAGACUUAUUGGAGAGGUACCACCAAAACGCGAGACAAGAGAGGUACGAGAUUUUCACUAACAUGAUUUCCGCGAAGAUGGGUCAUGGAGAAUCUCUUACCGUGCACUUGCAAAAGAUGCAAAGGUAUGUUGACCGCCUCCGCAAGUUAAAUGUUGACUUCGGUGAAGACUUGGCGAUCGACAUGGUGCUUCACUCUUUGCCUCCGAUGUACAACCAAUUUAGGAUGACCUACCACAUGAACAAAGAAGAGGUCACCCUAAGCAAGCUCCAAGGUCUCUUGAGGGUUGCUGAGAGCAACUUCAAGGACAAGUCUGUUGCACCUACUCCCAAUCCGCCCGCUGCUCCUGUCUUGGCUAUUGGACAAGGGAAGGGAAAGAAGAGGAAAGCUUCAUCGAAGAACUAUCGCAAGGUGAAAGCCCGAGAUGGUGCCUCUUCUAGUGGGACCAAAGUUGAUCCCGCCAAGCCCUGCUCUAACCCGAAGGAGGCAGAGUGCCACCACUGCCACAAGAUAGGACAUUGGAAGAGAAGCUGCCCGGAUUACCUGCAAGCAAUCAAAGAAGGAAAGAUCAAGCCAUCUUUCGCAGGUAUAUAUACAAUCAAAUCUAACGAUUCUAAUCAUGCUAUUUCUUGGGUUCUUGAUACCGGUUGUGGUUAUCACAUUUGUUCUAAUGUGCAGGGACUAAGAAGAAGUAGGGAUGUGGAGCAAGGAAGGAUCAAUCUAAUCAUGGGGAACAGAAGAUCGUCGCCUGUGACCAAGAUUGGAGUGUAUUCUUUAGUGCUUAGGAAUAGUUUGGUUUUAGAUUUGAACAAUUGUUGCUAUUCGCCAGAAAUGGCUAGAAACAUCAUUUCAUUUCAUGGUUUAUAUAGACAAGGAUUUAGAUUUUCUUUUAAUAAUGAGAAUGGUUCUAUUUUGGCUUAUCUAAAUGGUGUCUUUUACUUUGAAGCUAUACCAUGUAAUGGAAUAUAUGAAACCGUUAUGAUUGUUGAUAACUUAGGAAAUGAUGUUUUGAAUAUUGAUUCUUCCACUAGUAUGGAUAAAGCAUCCUUGUGGCAUUGUCGUCUUGGACAUGUCAACAAGAAACGCAUAGCCCAACUCCAAAAGGAUGGAGUGUUGGAGUCAUUCGACCUUAGGGAAGAUGACACAUGCGAGUCUUGUUUGCUUGGAAAGAUGACUAAGUCACCCUUCACGAGUACAUGUGAAAGGGGCGAGGGUCUAUUGGACCUAAUACAUACCGAUGUAUGUGGACCGUUUAGAUCAACCACGAAGGAUGGGAACCGCUUCUAUGUGACUUUUACCGAUGACUAUAGUAGAUAUGGGUAUAUCUACUUAAUCAAGCAAAAGUCAGACACCUUUGAAAAGUUCAAAGAGUUCAAGAAUGAAGUGGAGAAUCAAUUGGGCAGGAAAAUCAAGAUGCUUCGAUCCGAUCGAGGAGGAGAGUACCUAAGUCUUGAAUUCCACGAUUAUCUCAAGGAGUGUGGAAUAGUUUCGCAAUUGACGCCUCCUAGGACACCGCAGUUGAAUGGUGUGGCAGAAAGGCGUAAUCGAACCUUAUUGGAUAUGGUUCGCUCUAUGAUGAGUCGUGCUUCACUACCUAUCUCUUUUUGGGGGUAUGCCUUAGAGACUGCCGCCCAUAUCCUUAACCGAGUCCCUACUAAGAAGGUUGCCAAAACACCUCACGAGAUGUGGACAGGGAAAGCUCCCUCGUUGGCACAUAUCAAGGUUUGGGGUUGCGAGGCUUUCGUAAGACGAGAUACUCACGACAAGCUUGAACCUCGAAGUGAGCGAUGUAUUUUCAUCGGCUACCCGCAGACAUCCUUUGGAUAUCUCUUCUAUAGACCGAAGGACAAUGUUGUCUUCGUUGCGAGGAGAGGAGUUUUCCGAGAGCGAGAACUCAUAAGCCAAGGAGACAGUGGGAGGCAAAUCGAACUUGAAGAGAUUCAAGAGUCGAUAGAUGAAGGAACCUCUACCGCUGGCAUUCAACCCGAGGAGGAAACUCCGGUUGAACCGAUUGACGAAUCCUUACCUCUUAGACGUUCCGAUAGAGUUAGAGUUCAACCCCAGUUUUAUGGUUUUCAUAUUACUACCGAAGGGGACACGUAUAUUAGUGAUGGUACACUAAUAAAUCUUGAUGAACCUAAUAGCUAUAAGGAAGCCAUGGCAGGCCCGGAGUCUGCAAAAUGGAAAGAGGCAAUGGAUAGCGAGAUCCAAUCCAUGUAUGAUAACCAAGUUUGGAAUUUGGUUGAUUAUGUGCCCGGACGUAAGACCGUUGGGUGCAAAUGGAUCUUCAAGAAGAAGACCGACGUGGAUGGAAACGUACACACAUAUAAAGCGCGAUUGGUUGCGAAGGGCUUUACUCAAACUCCCGGAGUUGACUAUGAUGAGACCUUCUCACCAGUUGCGAAGAUUAAAUCUAUUAGAGUGAUGCUAGCAAUUGCCGCAUUUCAUGAUUAUGAGAUUUGGCAAAUGGAUGUCAAGACCGCUUUCCUUAACGGAAAGUUGGCUGAGGAUGUUUACAUGGCUCAGCCAGAGGGGUUUGUGGAUCCGAAGCAUCCGAAUAGAGUGUGUAAGCUUGAGAAGUCCAUUUAUGGACUUAAGCAAGCGUCUCGCAGAUGGAAUCUUUGCUUCGAUGAGAAAGUCAAAGAGUUUGGAUUUGUACGAAGCGAAGACGAAUCUUGUGUAUAUGUCAAAGCCAGUGGGAGUAUAGUAAGCUUCCUCGUUCUAUAUGUCGAUGACAUAUUACUCAUAGGAAACGACAUCCCGACUCUGCAGGAGGUUAAGUCCUGGCUCGGGAAGUGCUUCGCUAUGAAGGACCUCGGAGAGGCUUCUUACAUUUUGGGAAUAAGGAUAGUAAGAGAAAGAAGUAAGAGACUAAUUGGACUUAGUCAGAAUACUUACUUAGAGAAGGUACUAAAACGUUUUAGUAUGGAAAACUCAAAGAAGGGAGAACUACCGAUACAAAGUAAUGCCAAAUUGAGUAAGACUCAAAGUCCGAGUACCGAAGCUGAGAUAGCAGAAAUGAGCCGAGUACCAUACGCUUCCGCAGUUGGCUCAAUCAUGUACGCUAUGACUUGUACUCGCCCUGAUGUAGCCUUCGCUUUGAGCAUGGUUAGCAGAUAUCAAGGGAAUCCUGGCAGAGCACAUUGGAUUGCGGUGAAGAAUAUCCUUAAGUACCUUCGGAGGACGAAGGAAUGGUUCUUAGUCCUCGGAGGGAGUGAUGACUUGAAGGUGCGAGGGUAUAGUGACGCCAGUUUUCAGACCGACAGGGACAACUACCGUUCGCAGUCGGGCUGGGUCUUUACCCUAAAUGGAGGAGCAGUGACAUGGAAAAGUUCCAAGCAGGAAACCGUAGCUGAUUCAACGUGCGAAUCAGAGUACAUUGCAGCGAGCGAAGCGUCGAAGGAGGCAAUAUGGCUAAAGAACUUCAUCGGUGAUCUUGGAGUUGUACCUGCCAUAAAGGAGCCCAUGGAGAUUUUCUGUGAUAACGAAGGAGCGGUUGCCUUGACCAAGGAACCGAGGGAUCAUGGUAGAUCAAGACAUAUCGACAGAAAAUAUCACUUCAUUAGACAUCGUGUAGAAGAAGGACAACUCGUAGUGAAGAGGAUAUCAUCAGAAGAUAACCCAGCAGAUCCGCUUACGAAGGGACUGAGUAGGGUUAAGCACUUGCAGCAUGCUAGGAGUAUUGGGCUGAAGGAUGAUAUUAGCAUAGAUUAGAUAGUAUUAGAAACGUGUAAUAGAUAAAUGUAAUUAACAUUUGAUGAUUAAAUAAAGGAGUUUUAUUUAUGAGUAAUGUUACUGUCUUAUGUUAAUUGUUUAACUAUUGUUUCACUUUGCAUGUUUUGACUUCCAGAAUAAUUGAGUUUAUUAAGAAUAAUCGAAUUAUUCAAAUUGUCCACAAUCGUUCAUAUGUUGGAAGUAGAUAUGAAUGAAGAUUGUCAUGAAUUGGUGUGUAGAUUGUCUAAAUGGUGUUAGACAUAGCAAAGGGUUGCUGCAACGUUCAUGAGUGCUUAUGAACUAGUUUUGAGCAUUGGAACAAACCCGCGCUUGCUGGAAUCACCUUAUGGAAUAUGAUAUAAAAGGGUGAUCGCAAGACGAUAAUAUCAUAUAGUCUUAAAACCUAGAUAUAUGGUUUGUUAUUUGUUAAUUGAUUGUACAUUGAUAAUGCGAAAACGCAUCAGUAACUCGGUGUUAUAAAACGCAUUGUUGUGUAUAGUUGAUUAAUGAAUAAGUAAAUGCAUAUAAGUCGAAGUUUAUCUGUUACUUUUAUCCCAAGAGGGUAAAAGCGAUAUCUCGGCCGCUCGAUGAUUUGAUUUGACUUAUGUGCCGGGCCCGGUCAGAACUGAAUUGAUGUGUUCGAUUAAGUUCUAUGUCAAAUAAAUCGGAGAUCGAGAAACCUAAAUGCUUGACUAAUUAUUCCAUAGAAUUGUCAGCAUGAUAUCUAACAGAGGACUGUACGAUCCCUUAUCUAAAGGACAAGAUUGAUUAGAUCAGAGUUUGACAGCGUCUUUGAGAGCUACGAUUGCAAAUCGGAUUGUACUUGUGCAUAUAGUUACUAGACUUAUCCAAGUGGGAGACUGUUGGAAUAGUGUCUAAGGCUGCAACUAUAUUAGGCAAGUAUUUGACCCGAUUGUGCAUGGUCCUUUUGGGUUGCCUUCACCAUAGCAACUUGACAGGAUGAUUUAUUAUGAGAGAAUAAAUAUUAUUAAUAUAUUAUGAGAAUAAUAUAAGGAAUAAUAAUAUUGUUAUUUGAUUAAUAUAAGUCAUAGAUUAAUUAGUAUUAAUUUGGUGACUUAAAGAGAUUAAUUAAAUAAGAGGGUAUAAACUGUCAAUUGUUUGAUAGUUGCACUUUGGGCUGUAAAUCCUUAAGGGAUAGAGGUUGGACGAAUUCUAGGGCUUGGGAUAGCCUCAAAUUCGUCCAAGGCUUAUCUUUGGUAAGGAUUAGGAUUACUUAGAGCUUAAGUUAUCCAAUUAGGGUUUAAGGGUGAAACCCUAGGAGCCUUACAAGUAUAAAUAGACCCCUAGGGCAAGGGAGAUCGGCACCUCUGCUAAAGCAAAGAAACCCUGGCCGAUUUCUAAUCCCUCCCCUCUCUCUCAAAUCAUCCUCCUUGCUAGUUGGUGUGUGUAAGCCAUUAAAGGAGUGACAAUUGUGACUCUAGAGCUCCAAGACAACAAGAUCAAACAAGAGAUUCAAAGGUAAACUUCUAGAUCUGAUUUUGUAUUGUUCUUAUA